UGCGGGGUGGAGCAGUUCGGUAGCUCGUCGGGCUCAUAACCCGAAGGUCGUUGGUUCAAAUCCAGCCCCCGCUACCA
rnacentral:tRNA from 1 species